rnacentral:rRNA from 1 species
UACGGGGGGGGCAAGCGUUGUUCGGAAUUACUGGGCGUAAAGGGCGCGUAGGCGGUCUACUAAGUUGGAUGUGAAAACUCUGGGCUUAACCCAGAGCCUGCAUUCAAAACUGAUAGGCUGGAGUUCUGGAGGGGAUAGCGGAAUUCCUGGUGUAGCGGUGAAAUGCGUAGAUAUCAGGAGGAACACCGGUGGCGAAGGCGGCUAUCUGGACAGAAACUGACGCUGAGGCGCGAAAGCUAGGGGAGCAAACGGG